rnacentral:rRNA from 1 species
GUAGGGAAUAUUGCACAAUGGAGGAAACUCUGAUGCAGCGACGCCGCGUGAGUGAUGAAGGCCUUCGGGUCGUAAAGCUCUGUCGCAGGGGAAUAACACAAUGAAGGUACCCUGUAAGAAAGGAUCGGCUAACUUCGUGCCAGCAGCCGCGGUAAGACGAGGGAUCCUAGCGUUGUUCGGAAUCAUUGGGCGUAAAGCGGAUGUAGGUGGCUAUGUAAGUCAGAUGUGAAAGCCUUGGGCUCAACCCCAGAAGUGCAUUUGAUACUGCGUAGCUUGAGUGUCGGAGAGGUUACUAGAAUUGUUGGUGUAGUGGUGAAAUACGUAGAUAUCAACAGGAAUACCGGAGGCGAAGGCGGGUAACUGGCCGAACACUGACACUGAGAUCCGAAAGCGUGGGGAUCAAACAGGAUUAGAAACCCGUGUAGUCC